GAUGAACGCUGGCGGCGUGCCUAAUACAUGCAAGUCGAGCGAACGGACGAGAAGCUUGCUUCUCUGAUGUUAGCGGCGGACGGGUGAGUAACACGUGGAUAACCUACCUAUAAGACUGGGAUAACUUCGGGAAACCGGAGCUAAUACCGGAUAAUAUUUUGAACCGCAUGGUUCAAAAGUGAAAGACGGUCUUGCUGUCACUUAUAGAUGGAUCCGCGCUGCAUUAGCUAGUUGGUAAGGUAACGGCUUACCAAGGCAACGAUGCAUAGCCGACCUGAGAGGGUGAUCGGCCACACUGGAACUGAGACACGGUCCAGACUCCUACGGGAGGCAGCAGUAGGGAAUCUUCCGCAAUGGGCGAAAGCCUGACGGAGCAACGCCGCGUGAGUGAUGAAGGUCUUCGGAUCGUAAAACUCUGUUAUUAGGGAAGAGCAUAUGUGUAAGUAACUGUGCACAUCUUGACGGUACCUAAUCAGAAGGCACGGCUAACUACGU
rnacentral:rRNA from 1 species